rnacentral:ncRNA from 1 species
ACUAUUGAAUUUAAGUAUAUUAGUCAGCAGAGGGAAAAAAAACUAACCAGGAUUCCCUCAGUAAUGGCGAGUGAACAGGGA